UACGUAGGGUGCAAGCGUUGUCCGGAAUUACUGGGCGUAAAGAGCGCGUAGGCGGCACGGUACGACCGGUGUGAAAGCCCCCGGCUCAACUGGGGAGGGUCACCGGUAACGGCCGAGCUAUGAGUGCAGGAGAGGGAAGUGGAACUCCGGGAGUAGCGGUGAAAUGCGUAGAGACCCGGAGGAACACCAGUGGCGAAGGCGGCUUCCUGGUCUGCAACUGACGCUGUGGCGCGAAAGCUAGGGGAGCAAACGGG
rnacentral:rRNA from 1 species